rnacentral:tRNA from 1 species
GUGAGCGUAGCUCAGCUGGUAGAGCAUCGGACUGUGGCUCCGAGGGUCGUGGGUUCAAAUCCCAUCGCUCACC